rnacentral:rRNA from 1 species
AAUGAACGCUGGCGGCAUGCCUAACACAUGCAAGUCGAACGAAGGCUUCGGCCUUAGUGGCGCACGGGUGCGUAACGCGUGGGAAUCUGCCCUUGGGUUCGGAAUAACAGUUAGAAAUGACUGCUAAUACCGGAUGAUGUCGUAAGACCAAAGAUUUAUCGCCCAAGGAUGAGCCCGCGUAGGAUUAGCUAGUUGGUGGGGUAAAGGCCUACCAAGGCGACGAUCCUUAGCUGGUCUGAGAGGAUGAUCAGCCACACUGGGGCUGAGACACGGCCCAGACUCCUACGGGAGGCAGCAGUGGGGAAUAUUGGACAAUGGGCGAAAGCCUGAUCCAGCAAUGCCGCGUGAGUGAUGAAGGCCUUAGGGUUGUAAAGCUCUUUUACCCGGGAUGAUAAUGACAGUACCGGGAGAAUAAGCGCCGGCUAACUUCGUG